rnacentral:rRNA from 1 species
AACACAAACAUAUUAAUCAUAUCAAAACAAAACAUUUGACCCAUUCAGUAGAUGUGAUCGAACAAUACAACUACACAGUACCGCAAGGGAACAUUAAACAGCAAAAAAUAGCAAAGAUAAACCCCUGUACCUUUUGCAUCAUGGUCUAGCAAGUAACCAAAGGCAAGAAGAAUCACAGCCACAACCCCGAAACCAGAUGAGCUACUUUAAAGCAGCCUACUGGGCACACCCUUCUCUGUAGCAAAAGAGUGGGAAGACUUAAAAGUAGAAGUGAAACGCCUAACGAAUCUGGAGAUAGCUGGCUACCUAAAAAAGAAUUUAAGUUCAACCUUAGAUCAAAAAAAUAAUAAUUAAUCACCUAAGGAAAAUCAAUAGGGGUACAGCCCUAUUGAAACAGGAUACAACCUGGAUUUGAGAGGAAUAAACAAACACCUAACCAGUAGGCCUUAAAGCAGCCACCUAACAAAAUAUCGUUAAAGAAUUAACCCAAAAAUACCAACAUCCAUUAAAAACUCCAAACCAACUAAAGGUAAGUCUAUAAACAUAGACACUAUUAUGCUAGAACUAAUAAUAAGACAACCUCUCUUCAAUGCACCCAUCCACUAGAACGGAUAUACCACUAGUCAUUAACAGACCACAAUAGGCAUAAAGAAACCAAUAUACAACUAAAACAGACUGUAACCCCGACACAGGAGCAUUAAAAAGAAAGAUUAAAUAUUAUAAAAGGAACUCGGCAAACAUAGGUCCCAACUGUUUAACAAAAACAUAACCUUUAGCCAAACAAAUAUUAAAGGCAACGCCUGCCCAGUGAAAAAUUAAACGGCCGCGGUAUCCUAACCGUGCAAAGGUAGCAUAAUCAUUUGUCUACUAAUUAUAGACCUGUAUGAAAGGCAAAAUGAGGGCCUAACUGUCUCUUAUAAUAAAUCAAUUAAACUGAUCUCCUAGUAAAAAAGCUAGAAUACCAACAUAAGACCAGAAGACCCUGUGAAGCUUAAACUAAACUAUUAACCCAAAUAAUAACUACUUUCGGUUGGGGCGACCUUGGAAAAAAAAAGAACUUCCAAACUAAAUUACUAAUAAUUAACCCAGGCUAACAAGCCAACUAACGACCCAGCACAGCUGAUAAAUGAACCAAGUUACUCCAGGGAUAACAGCGCAAUCUUCUUCAAGAGCCCAUAUCAAAAAGAAGGUUUACGACCUCGAUGUUGGAUCAGGACAUCCUAAUGGUGCAGCCGCUAUUAAGGGUUCGUUUGUUCAACGAUUAAUAGUCCUACGUGAUCU